rnacentral:rRNA from 1 species
UACGUAGGGCGCAAGCGUUGUCCGGAAUCAUUGGGCGUAAAGAGCUCGUAGGCGGCCUGUGCGUCCGCUGUGAAAUCCCGGGGCUUAACCCCGGGCGUGCAGUGGAUACGGGCUGGCUGGAGGCAGGCAGGGGAGAAUGGAAUUCCUGGUGUAGCGGUGAAAUGACGCAGAUAUCAGGAGGAACACCGGUGGCGAAGGCGGUUCUCUGGGCCUUACCUGACACUGAGGAGCGAAAGCGUGGGGGAGCAAACAGG